AGAGUUUGAUCAUGGCUCAGAUUGAACGCUGGCGGCAGGCCAACACAUGCAAGUCGAGCGGAUGAAGGAGCUUGCUCCUGGAUUCAGCGGCGGACGGGUGAGUAAUGCCUAGGAAUCUGCCUGGUAGUGGGGAUAACGUCCGGAAACGGGCGCUAAUACCGCAUACGUCCUGAGGGAGAAAAGUGGGGAUCUUCGGACCUCACGCUAUCAGAUGAGCCUACGGAUUAACUGGGUUGGUGGGGUAAAGGCCUACCAAGGCGACGAUCCGUAACUGGUCUGAGAGGAUGAUCAAUCACACUGGAACUGGAGACACGGUCCAGACUCUACGGGAGGCAGCAGGGGAAUAUUGGACAAUGGGCGAAAGCCUGAUCCAGCCAUGCCGCGUGUGAAGAAUCUUCGGAUUGUAAAGCACUUUAAGUUGGGAGGAAGGCAGUAAGUUAAUACCUUGCUGUUUUGACGUUACCAACAGAAUAAGCCAGCAGCCGCUAAUACGUGCCAGCUGAGCUAGCGUAGCGCGGUAGCAAGUUGGGUGGUGGAAUUUCUCAGUACUGGGCGUAAAGCGCGUAGAUAUAGGAAGGAACAAUGCGGCGAAGGCGACCACCUGGACUGAUACUGACACUGAGGUGCGAAAGCGUGGGGAGCAAACAGGACUUACCCUGGUAGUCCACGCCAAACGAUGCGACUAGCCGUUGGGAUCCUUGAGAUCUUAGUGGCGCAGCUAACGCGAUAAGUCGACCGCCUGGGGAGUACGGCAAGGUUAAACUCAAAUGAAUUGACGGGGCCCGCACAAGCGGUGGAGCAUGUGGUUUAAUUCGAAGCAACGCGAAGAACGUCGACCUGGCCUUGACAUGCUGAGAACUUUCCAGAGAUGGAUGCCUUCGGGAACUCAGACACAGGUGCUGCAUGGCUGUCGUCAGCUCGUGUCGAGAUGUUGGGUUAAGUCCGUAACGAGCGCAACCCUUGUCCCUUAGUUACCAGCACCUCGGGUGGGCACUCAUGAGACUGCCGGUGACAAACCGGAGGAAGGGAUGACGUCAAGUCAUCAUGGCCCUUACGGCCAGGGCUCACACGUGCUACAAUGGUCGGUACAAAGGUUGCCAAGCCGCGAGGUGGAGCUAAUCCCAUAAAACCGAUCGUAGUCCGAUCGCAGUCUGCAACUCGACUGCGUGAAGUCGGAAUCGCUAGUAAUCGUGAAUCAGAAUGUCACGGUGAAUACGUUCCCGGGCCUUGUACACCGCCCGUCACACCAUGGGAGUGGGUUGCUCCAGAAGUAGCUAGUCUAACCGCAAGGGGACGGUUACCACGGAGUGAUUCAUGACUGGGGUGAAGUCGAAACAAGGUAGCCGUAAGGAACCUGCGGCUG
rnacentral:rRNA from 1 species